rnacentral:misc_RNA from 1 species
UCAAACUUGGUCAUUUAGAGGAAGUAAAAGUCGUAACAAGGUCUCCGUUGGUGAACUAGCGGAGGGAUCAUUACCGAGUGCCUACGCUUAGACCCUGCCGUAGACCUAAGACGAUUUGCUUUGGCGGGGGCCCCCCACCGGGCGCCCGCCGGAGGCCUUACGCGUUAGGCUUUUAGUGGCGUCACGCUACGUACGGUCUUCUAAAUUAGCUUUUGAAAUCAGUCAAAACUUUUAACAACGGAUCUCUUGGUUCUAGCAUCGAUGAAGAACGCAGC